rnacentral:rRNA from 1 species
AUUGAACGCUGGCGGCAGGCUUAACACAUGCAAGUCGAACGAGUGGCGGACGGGUGAGUAAUGCUUGGGAAUCUAGCUUAUGGAGGGGGAUAACUACGGGAAACUGUAGCUAAUACCGCGUACCAUAGGAUGAGCCCAAGUGGGAUUAGGUAGUUGGUGAGGUAAAGGCUCACCAAGCCGACGAUCUCUAGCUGGUCUGAGAGGAUGACCCGGCACACUGGGAAGUAGAAAAGGCCCAGACUUCGUCGGGAGGCAGCAGGGGGGAAAUUUGCGGCAUGGGGGCAACCUGACGCAGCCAUGCCGCGUGAAUGAAGAAGGCCUUCGGGUUGUAAAGUUCUUUCGGUAGCGAGGCGUUAACUACAGAAGAAGCACCGGCUAACUCCGUGCCAGCAGCCGCGGUAAUAC